UCUCAUUCUUGGCGCCUGGACCAGGGUGAUCAUGAAUUCCCUGGUCCCAGAUGGAGUCUCGCCCUUGAAAUUUGGCGUGUUGAAGCCUUCGACGAUCCCUAAUCGGGCUCGCUCGGACGCGUAGUUUUCACUAGUGGGGAGGUCUUCGGAUCAUCCCUU
rnacentral:snRNA from 1 species